rnacentral:rRNA from 1 species
CGGACGUGGGUAACCUGCCUCAUACAGGGGGAUAGCAGCUGGAAACGGCUGAUAAAACCGCAUAAGCGCACAGCAUCGCAUGAUGCAGUGUGAAAAACUCCGGUGGUAUGAGAUGGACCCGCGUCUGAUUAGCUUGUUGGUGAGGUAACGGCCCACCAAGGCGACGAUCAGUAGCCGGCCUGAGAGGGUGACCGGCCACAUUGGGACUGAGACACGGCCCAA